GUUUGGUCAACUUUUUAACCUAAAAUGGAAUACAUAAUUAAAAAUGUAUUACCCACUAUUUUAGUAAUUACAAUGGUGAUUAAAAAUGUUAUACAGAAAAAUUUAAUGACACAAAACAUGGUAAAAAAAUGUCUUGGUCAAGUUUCUCAAACUUGUUUUUGCAAUUCAAAGUAAAUAAUUAUGGCUUUAACAUCUUUGCCAAUACUUUUUCUUUUUAAUUUCCUUUUCUUGCAAUAAGUAUCAUCACUUUAUCAAUAACUUAACUUUAUAAAUUUUAUUAAGUAAUUAAAUGGUUCAUUUCAAAUGCACUCCAUGUCAUUCCUUUCCUCAUCCUAUAACAUUCUCCAUUGCAUUCAUUACAUUCUAAGUCCAAACAUGACAUAUGGCAUUUACAUCUGAUUGCUUUGUUGUUUCCUUUCUUUUUCUUUUUCUCCACAGCUAUAAUGCUCACAACAAACACCAAAGAAGGCAUUUGGCGAUGCAUUUCCAUCUAUUUUCAUAAUUGGUACAAUAAAAAUUUUAGAACAAGUUAAAAGAACAAAGCAUUGUAUACUACAUUUUCAAAUUUUCAUAAAUCAUUCCAAGCUAUAAGAAUAAAGAACCAUCACAUGUCCAACUUCCCCUGUAGGUCUUCAUUUCAAAUAGCACCUUUCUCAUUUGUUUUACAGUUUUCCCCAAACCAAGCAUGGUAAAGAAAAAUUAGAAAAGUAUCUUUGAA
rnacentral:misc_RNA from 1 species